UUUUCCUCGGUCAAAUAAUUAAAAUAAGUUUUAGCUUUAUAAAGUAAAAAAUGAAGGUAGUGCAUAAAUCUAAUUAAAACAGAUGGAGCAUUUAAGAGAAAUCUCAACAAUAGGAAGCAAAAACACCUGAAAAUGUUGGAGAUCAUAAGAAGGUUAAGAAGGAACAGGUGAUGGUUCUUAAUGGUCUGAGCACAUACGGGAGCACCUGUAAUACUGGAGUGAAAGAAGCUUUAAGAUUGAAUAGUCAAUAAACUGUAUCUGCAAAGGAAGGUGUCCUGAUUUUCUAUUUCACUGACUGGCUUGGAUCCAGAUUGACAAAGUCCUCUUUCAGAUGCUGCCAGACCUGCUGAACUUCCAGCAACUUCUGUUGUUGUACCAGGACCGUGGACCUGCUUAAAUAAUGUAGGGUAUGUGUCCAGAGCAAGCUAUUCA